rnacentral:rRNA from 2 species
CGGUGAAAUUCAAUACUGUUUUUCCAAAAAUGGUGUGCACUUUUCACUUAGUAAGACGUUGUGAUCCAUUAGGAAUCGAAUGUCUAUCUAAAAUUGGACAUUCAAUAGGCUACCAAUAGACGGGUAUGAAGUUCACAUUGAAACACAACACAAUCUUUUGGUCGUGUAUAGUCUCUUGUGAGCAUACCAUGCACUGAUGUAGCUGCCUGAUGGUUUUUAAAGAUUGCAUUAUUGAUGCUUGCAUCACCCACUUUKYUGGGCACAAUGUAUAUCCGAUCAACAACGGUUUCAUUUGGGAUACCUUUGGGACCCGUCUUGAAACACGGACCAAGGAGUCUAUCUAGUAUGCGAGUAAAUGGGAUCUCAAAAACCUAUUUGCAUAAAUAACUUGACUGUAAUUUAAUGGGAUUACGUGUAUUACAUUUAUGUGUGUGCACCUCCAUCCCGGAGUAUUUUCAUCACAUAUGCUAGCAAUAGUAUAUAGAAAAUAUAUCAUGAGCAUACUGGACAUGACCCGAAAGAUGGUGAACUAUGCCUGAUCAGGUUGAAGUCAGGGGAAACCCUGAUGGAGGACCGAAGCAAUUCUGACGUGCAAAUCG